GUCAUGUUAUCGAUAUGUGAAUACAUAGCAUAUCAGAAGGCACACCCGGAGAACUGAAACAUCUUAGUACCCGGAGGAAGAGAAAGAAAAUUCGAUUCCCUUAGUAGCGGCGAGCGAAACGGGAAGAGCCCAAACCAACAAGCUUGCUUGUUGGGGUUGUAGGACACUCUAUACGGAGUUACAAAGGACGACAUUAGACGAAUCAUCUGGAAAGAUGAAUCAAAGAAGGUAAUAAUCCUGUAGUCGAAAAUGUUGUCUCUCUUGAGUGGAUCCUGAGUACGACGGAGCACGUGAAAUUCCGUCGGAAUCUGGGAGGACCAUCUCCUAAGGCUAAAUACUCUCUAGUGACCGAUAGUGAACCAGUACCGUGAGGGAAAGGUGAAAAGCACCCCGGAAGGGGAGUGAAAUAGAACCUGAAACCGUGUGCUUACAAGUAGUCAGAGCCCGUUAAUGGGUGAUGGCGUGCCUUUUGUAGAAUGAACCGGCGAGUUACGAUUUGAUGCAAGGUUAAGCAGUAAAUGUGGAGCCGUAGCGAAAGCGAGUCUGAAUAGGGCGUUUAGUAUUUGGUCGUAGACCCGAAACCAGGUGAUCUACCCUUGGUCAGGUUGAAGUUCAGGUAACACUGAAUGGAGGACCGAACCGACUUACGUUGAAAAGUGAGCGGAUGAACUGAGGGUAGCGGAGAAAUUCCAAUCGAACCUGGAGAUAGCUGGUUCUCUCCGAAAUAGCUUUAGGGCUAGCCUCAAGUGAUGAUUAUUGGAGGUAGAGCACUGUUUGGACGAGGGGCCCCUCUCGGGUUACCGAAUUCAGACAAACUCCGAAUGCCAAUUAAUUUAACUUGGGAGUCAGAACAUGGGUGAUAAGGUCCGUGUUCGAAAGGGAAACAGCCCAGACCACCAGCUAAGGUCCCAAAAUAUAUGUUAAGUGGAAAAGGAUGUGGCGUUGCCCAGACAACUAGGAUGUUGGCUUAGAAGCAGCCAUCAUUUAAAGAGUGCGUAAUAGCUCACUAGUCGAGUGACACUGCGCCGAAAAUGUACCGGGGCUAAACAUAUUACCGAAGCUGUGGAUUGUCCUUUGGACAAUGGUAGGAGAGCGUU
rnacentral:rRNA from 1 species